AUGGGUACGAACGUCAUCUUGUGACUGCAUCACCUUUGUUUGGCUAAAGUACAAGAGAAAUGCAACAUCUAAGACUACAUGUACAUUGACUUUGAAUAAUCUACCCGGAAUCCUCAAAAAGGCAACUCAAAUACAGAAAGUGCAUAUAAUUUGGAAAAGAGACCAUCAAUCCACUGGGGGGUAUCGCAUGAAAGCAAUGAUUAUAGAAUAUUGUAAGGCUGGAGGAGU